UUCGGGCUGGAUUGCUAUAUUAACGCUGUCAAUUGUUUGCUUUGUGCUAGUUAAAAAUCUUUCUGCCUAACUUAACAAAAAAAUUGGAAGUAGAGCUAGGAGAAUAGUUAAAUUUCUGCAUGUCUACUUCGCACAAACAACGACAGUGAAGACUUAUGAUAUCAAAACCUAACAUAAAAUGUUAUGUUGUGUUGUUGCGUAAAAAAGAAACUACAGUGACUUCACCAAAACAAAUUAGGAAAGUCCAGCUGUGUCUCAGAAGUGCAUAUACGGUUGUAACAAAAGGAAUGGGGAGUCGAGCUAGAUUGACGAAAUGUUCUGUCAACGAGUUGGCAGGCUGUUUUAGUUGUAAAAUCGUUUGAAGCCUGAGCAAUGUUUUUGCCUUUAUAUACAAUCCUCAAAUCUGUCCCUGGACGUGUGAGGGGAGGCACAGAAGUCUCAUAAGAGUGGAUACAUGAUUUUAACAUGAGGAACCAAGAAGCUUGGCAGAUUGACAGAUCUGCCAAUGAGGAAAACCAUUUUCUUCUUUGUUUUUCAAGACUCACUUUGUUUAUUUUGUUGCGAUUGAUAGGCUUUUCAGUUGGAAAAUUAUUGAACCCUGAAUAACGUUGAACGCUCUGAUCUUUCAUAUGAGUUGUGGAUAAUUGAAGAGAAGUCCAGGUAUACCUACAGAAGGCAUUUGUGAUUGUAACACAAGGAACUAAAAAUUUCUGCCCACAAGGUUAUUUAAAAGCUAUUCAAAUGAAUAAAGGAAAAAGACAAGGAAGUUCAACCAUUUGAAUCCUAAGCAAUGUUAAUGGACUCACUGCUUCUUGAUGAAUAAGGGGUUACUCUGCUUCUGGAUAUUUGAAGCCAAGUCCAGAUGUGUCUCUAGUGUAACAUGUGGAACCAGGAAGUUUAGCCAGAUAGAAGGAUUCUAAAAACAAGUUGGAACUCACAACUAAACGAAUGGAGGGCUCGCAAAGCCGCACUUUCUCAUUGUCGCCACAGCUUUGCCGCAUUAUCACCGGAUCUUGCUUUCAACAUCCCCAUGUGUUCGCUGUCAUCGCCGCCAUAUCUGUGCUAUCAUAGUCGUGGCAUCUUCGCCUCAUCAUCGUCGCAUGUUUGUGUCAUCAGCGCCGCAUCAUCAUUAAAUCUUUGCCUCAGCAUCACCUCGUCGUUUCCACAUCUUCGGUGUGUCAUCGCCAUCGUCUUAGCAACGCCACCCAACGAGGAAUACCGAAGCUGUAGGGACGAGCCGUGCUGUUCUGCCUUAUGGUCGUGGUGGAACUGAAUCUUCAAUUGCAGGUACAUCAGUGCGCUGAGAUGGUGUUAGACGGAAAUCUACCCAGUUGCAAACUGCCAUGGGCAUUCCCUUGUAGAAAAUUAAAUCGAUUUGAACUUUAGACCGCCUUAAUCCUUGGGAUAACAACCCCAUGGUUAGACGCCAUGAUUGCUCAACGGCCCAAAUCGGAAAAACCUGAUCAUCUUCUGGAUUCCAUUUGCGGCUCACUGUACGUAGCUGACCAGACCAUUCUCAAUCCGUUCCAGCAUUUCCAAGAAUCGUUAGAAAGAGGUCAAAGUCUGCCGGCCUACACAUUAACCAACUGCAUCGGAUUGGAACUGAUCUACGAAGGUACCGAAUUCAAAAUACAGGCCACAUGAUCGGGGGACUAAUAGUUAUUGUCUCGCACCUUAAUUGA